GGCCGCGCUGGCCCGGGCGGCCGAGAGCGGCGCUCUCAUCGUCGUCGGAGUUCCGAUGCCCGCCGUCGAUUCGAUCCUGGCUGCGGUGGCC
rnacentral:tRNA from 1 species